rfam:Hyphopichia burtonii NRRL Y-1933 unplaced genomic scaffold HYPBTscaffold_3, whole genome shotgun sequence.
GGGUGGUUGGUGUAGUGGCUAGCAUAUUUGCCUUCCAGGGGAAGUCAGCAGAUGACAUGGGUUCAAUUCCCGUACCACUCA